rnacentral:rRNA from 1 species
AACGAACGCUGGCGGCAGGCCUAACACAUGCAAGUCGAGCGCCCUUUCGGGGGAGCGGCGGACGGGUGAGUAACGCGUGGGAAUAUGCCCUUCUCUACGGAAUAGCCUCGGGAAACUGAGAGUAAUACCGUAUACGCCCUCUGGGGGAAAGAUUUAUCGGGGAAGGAUUAGCCCGCGUUGGAUUAGGUAGUUGGUGGGGUAAUGGCCUACCAAGCCGACGAUCCAUAGCUGGUUUGAGAGGAUGAUCAGCCACACUGGGACUGAGACACGGCCCAGACUCCUACGGGAGGCAGCAGUGGGGAAUCUUAGACAAGGGGGGCAACCCUGAUCUAGCCAGGCCGCGUGAGUGAUGAAGGCCUUAGGGUUGUAAAGCUCUUUCAGCUGGGAAGAUAAUGACGGUACCAGCAGAAGAAGCCCCGGCUAACUCCGUG